rnacentral:rRNA from 1 species
UACGAAGGGGGGCUAGCGUUGCUCGGAAUCACUGGGCGUAAAGCGCGUGUAGGCGGCUGGUUAGGCGUGAUGUGAAAUCUUCCGGCUCAACCGGAAAAACUGCAUUGCGAACCGGCCUGGCUAGAGUGCAGGAGAGGGAAGCGGAAUUCCAGGUGUAGCGGUGAAAAUGCGUAGAUAUCUGGAGGAACACCAGUGGCGAAGGCGGCUUCCUGGCCUGCAACUGACGCUGAGACGCGAAAGCGUGGGGGAGCGAACCGG